UGAGUGUCCAGUAUUUGCCUGCAGCUUCCAGAAUGUUGGAAUGUUCCUUGAAUGGUACAUUUGUUCCAGUUGAGAGUUGGAGGGAUGGUCAGGGGUGGGGCUGGGAAAUGAGGAGGGGUGAAGGGAGGUGGGUGUUGUUCAGAGCUCCACACCUGCUAUUCCUAAUUCCAGGAAGCAAGGCUAGCUGUUGCACUCUGACUGAGUUGAAUUAGAAACAUAAACUACAAGGGAGAGAAUUCUCAGCCAAAGGGGCCUUUAGAAGGCAUGACCAUCAACUUCAGCAACCUAGACCCUUGGCACUAGGGCACUCUUAUUUCAUCUGUGGCAUCCUCUGUUUUUUUCCUUCUCCUGUGGGUUAACUGAGUUCCAAACCAGCAGCUGCUCUUUUUCUGUGCUGUGCAGAGAGUGUGGCAAGUGUGAAUUUGACCACGGGCUACAUCUCCUGAAGAGAAGGCUCAGCAUUAAUAUUUCAAGAGUCUAGGCAUUUCCCUAGGCAUUUAUCCCUUCACGUGAAAUCUAAGAGGAGUUUGCAGACAAGCCCAUCCAACAUAUGGUAAAGGAGUCCUGGACACCAAGCC